CACCACCCUAGGCCAACGUACUGCUUUGC
rnacentral:piRNA from 1 species